rnacentral:rRNA from 1 species
UUAAGCGACUAAGCGUACACGGUGGAUGCCCUGGCAGUCAGAGGCGAUGAAGGACGUGCUAAUCUGCGAUAAGCGUCGGUAAGGUGAUAUGAACCGUUAUAACCGGCGAUUUCCGAAUGGGGAAACCCAGUGUGUUUCGACACACUAUCAUUAACUGAAUCCAUAGGUUAAUGAGGCGAACCGGGGGAACUGAAACAUCUAAGUACCCCGAGGAAAAGAAAUCAACCGAGAUUCCCCCAGUAGCGGCGAGCGAACGGGGAGGAGCCCAGAGCCUGAAUCAGUGUGUGUGUUAGUGGAAGCGUCUGGAAAGGCGCGCGAUACAGGGUGACAGCCCCGUACACAAAAAUGCACAUACUGUGAGCUCGAUGAGUAGGGCGGGACACGUGGUAUCCUGUCUGAAUAUGGGGGGACCAUCCUCCAAGGCUAAAUACUCCUGACUGACCGAUAGUGAACCAGUACCGUGAGGGAAAGGCGAAAAGAACCCCGGCGAGGGGAGUGAAAAAGAACCUGAAACCGUGUACGUACAAGCAGUGGGAGCACGCUUAGGCGUGUGACUGCGUACCUUUUGUAUAAUGGGUCAGCGACUUAUAUUCUGUAGCAAGGUUAACCGAAUAGGGGAGCCGAAGGGAAACCGAGUCUUAACUGGGCGUUAAGUUGCAGGGUAUAGACCCGAAACCCGGUGAUCUAGCCAUGGGCAGGUUGAAGGUUGGGUAACACUAACUGGAGGACCGAACCGACUAAUGUUGAAAAAUUAGCGGAUGACUUGUGGCUGGGGGUGAAAGGCCAAUCAAACCGGGAGAUAGCUGGUUCUCCCCGAAAGCUAUUUAGGUAGCGCCUCGUGAAUUCAUCUCCGGGGGUAGAGCACUGUUUCGGCAAGGGGGUCAUCCCGACUUACCAACCCGAUGCAAACUGCGAAUACCGGAGAAUGUUAUCACGGGAGACACACGGCGGGUGCUAACGUCCGUCGUGAAGAGGGAAACAACCCAGACCGCCAGCUAAGGUCCCAAAGUCAUGGUUAAGUGGGAAACGAUGUGGGAAGGCCCAGACAGCCAGGAUGUUGGCUUAGAAGCAGCCAUCAUUUAAAGAAAGCGUAAUAGCUCACUGGUCGAGUCGGCCUGCGCGGAAGAUGUAACGGGGCUAAACCAUGCACCGAAGCUGCGGCAGCGACGCUGAUGUGUUGUUGGGUAGGGGAGCGUUCUGUAAGCCUGUGAAGGUGUACUGUGAGGUAUGCUGGAGGUAUCAGAAGUGCGAAUGCUGACAUAAGUAACGAUAAAGCGGGUGAAAAGCCCGCUCGCCGGAAGACCAAGGGUUCCUGUCCAACGUUAAUCGGGGCAGGGUGAGUCGACCCCUAAGGCGAGGCCGAAAGGCGUAGUCGAUGGGAAACAGGUUAAUAUUCCUGUACUUGGUGUUACUGCGAAGGGGGGACGGAGAAGGCUAUGUUGGCCGGGCGACGGUUGUCCCGGUUUAAGCGUGUAGGCUGGUUUUCCAGGCAAAUCCGGAAAAUCAAGGCUGAGGCGUGAUGACGAGGCACUACGGUGCUGAAGCAACAAAUGCCCUGCUUCCAGGAAAAGCCUCUAAGCAUCAGGUAACAUCAAAUCGUACCCCAAACCGACACAGGUGGUCAGGUAGAGAAUACCAAGGCGCUUGAGAGAACUCGGGUGAAGGAACUAGGCAAAAUGGUGCCGUAACUUCGGGAGAAGGCACGCUGAUAUGUAGGUGAAGUCCCUCGCGGAUGGAGCUGAAAUCAGUCGAAGAUACCAGCUGGCUGCAACUGUUUAUUAAAAACACAGCACUGUGCAAACACGAAAGUGGACGUAUACGGUGUGACGCCUGCCCGGUGCCGGAAGGUUAAUUGAUGGGGUCAGCGCAAGCGAAGCUCUUGAUCGAAGCCCCGGUAAACGGCGGCCGUAACUAUAACGGUCCUAAGGUAGCGAAAUUCCUUGUCGGGUAAGUUCCGACCUGCACGAAUGGCGUAAUGAUGGCCAGGCUGUCUCCACCCGAGACUCAGUGAAAUUGAACUCGCUGUGAAGAUGCAGUGUACCCGCGGCAAGACGGAAAGACCCCGUGAACCUUUACUAUAGCUUGACACUGAACAUUGAGCCUUGAUGUGUAGGAUAGGUGGGAGGCUUUGAAGUGUGGACGCCAGUCUGCAUGGAGCCGACCUUGAAAUACCACCCUUUAAUGUUUGAUGUUCUAACGUGGACCCGUAAUCCGGGUUGCGGACAGUGUCUGGUGGGUAGUUUGACUGGGGCGGUCUCCUCCUAAAGAGUAACGGAGGAGCACGAAGGUUGGCUAAUCCUGGUCGGACAUCAGGAGGUUAGUGCAAUGGCAUAAGCCAGCUUGACUGCGAGCGUGACGGCGCGAGCAGGUGCGAAAGCAGGUCAUAGUGAUCCGGUGGUUCUGAAUGGAAGGGCCAUCGCUCAACGGAUAAAAGGUACUCCGGGGAUAACAGGCUGAUACCGCCCAAGAGUUCAUAUCGACGGCGGUGUUUGGCACCUCGAUGUCGGCUCAUCACAUCCUGGGGCUGAAGUAGGUCCCAAGGGUAUGGCUGUUCGCCAUUUAAAGUGGUACGCGAGCUGGGUUUAGAACGUCGUGAGACAGUUCGGUCCCUAUCUGCCGUGGGCGCUGGAGAACUGAGGGGGGCUGCUCCUAGUACGAGAGGACCGGAGUGGACGCAUCACUGGUGUUCGGGUUGUCAUGCCAAUGGCACUGCCCGGUAGCUAAAUGCGGAAGAGAUAAGUGCUGAAAGCAUCUAAGCACGAAACUUGCCCCGAGAUGAGUUCUCCCUGACUCCUUGAGAGUCCUGAAGGAACGUUGAAGACGACGACGUUGAUAGGCCGGGUGUGUAAGCGCAGCGAUGCGUUGAGCUAACCGGUACUAAUGAACCGUGAGGCUUAACCU